GACGAACGCUGGCGGCGUGCUUAACACAUGCAAGUCGAGCGGUAAGGCCCUUUCGGGGGUACGACGAGCGGCGAACGGGUGAGUAACACGUGGGUGACCUGCCCUCCAGCGUCUGGGAUAAGCCUGGGAAACUGGGUCUAAUACCGGAUAUGACUCCAUGACGCCAUGUUGUGGGGUGGAAAGCCUUGUGCGGCUGAGGAUGGGCCCGCGGCCUAUCAGCUUGUUGGUGGGGNGAUGG
rnacentral:rRNA from 1 species